GGUUGUGGCUCAAUGGUAGAGCACUUGCCUCGCACAUGCAAGGCCCUGGGUUCGAUCCUCAGCACCA
rnacentral:tRNA from 1 species